GCAUCAGUUUGGAUUUAUGGCAGUCCUGUCCCCGUAGGCCUGUCAUAGUGUCUCAUGCCAGAGCAAACUGUGGCCCCCAAGUGUUGCCUGGCCUCUUGUCCAUAGGCUACUGGCCCUGAAGCGGUCACACAGCA
ensembl:snoRNA